CUUGAGGUAAAAACUAAGGUAGUUUUGCCAAACCAGCUGGCUCCUUUAAUAACCGGGGAGAUUGAGAUCAAAGUAUGCUUUCUUACUUCAACGCAUAUUACCUCACCAGUGAGUUGAUCGUUGAAUCGGUUGACUUGUACCCAGGAUAUUGUCCAUGACAAAAUGGCUCUAGUAUUAUGGCAGAAGCUGAGCCUAUUUCCACUCAGAAGUACAUAAUACAAGACACAGUAGAGUGCAACUGGAAGCCAUAAUGUACUCUCAUUCAUGAAGCCGCAAGAACAAUUUUUUGUGUCAAUUCUUGUCCAAAGGCAUGUUAUCUAGCUAUCUAUCCAUCGGCAACGAUACAAACACCACAAAAUUGAUGGAAGACAAUUGGGGACAAGCAAGCAAAUAAUAGGGUUUGAAUGAAAAUUUGUCAGUUUCUCUUUCAUGUAAUGUAAACCAUGUACAGAAUUCUCGUUCAUACAACGAGGAACUCCCUAAAGAUGCUCUGAUGCGUUUAUUUUGGUAAAGAAAUGGCCUGUUACAGCUUA